UACGUAGGGCGCAAGCGUUAUCCGGAAUUAUUGGGCGUAAAGAGCUCGUAGGCGGUUUGUCGCGUCUGCCGUGAAAGUCCGGGGCUCAACUCCGGAUCUGCGGUGGGUACGGGCAGACUAGAGUGAUGUAGGGGAGACUGGAAUUCCUGGUGUAGCGGUGAAAUGCGCAGAUAUCAGGAGGAACACCGAUGGCGAAGGCGAGUCCCUGGACGAUACCUGACACUGAGGCACGAAAGCUAGGGGAGCAAACAGG
rnacentral:rRNA from 1 species